rnacentral:rRNA from 1 species
CAGCAGCCGCGGGAAAACGUAGGUGGCAAGCGUUGUCCGGAAUUAUUGGGCGUAAAGGGCUCGCAGGCGGUUUCUUAAGUCUGAUGUGAAAGCCCCCGGCUCAACCGGGGAGGGUCAUUGGAAACUGGGAAACUUGAGUGCAGAAGAGGAGAGUGGAAUUCCACGUGUAGCGGUGAAAUGCGUAGAGAUGUGGAGGAACACCAGUGGCGAAGGCGACUCUCUGGUCUGUAACUGACGCUGAGGAGCGAAAGCGUGGGGAGCGAACAGGAUUAGAUACCCCCGUGUCCCUGUCUCUUAUACA